GGGAUAAGAAAAUCUUAAUUAAACAGAACUUGCAAUAAAGAAAGCCUAAAUAGGGCUCUCUUUACAGGAAGUGUUUAUGGAAGGCUGUGCGAGUCACAUGCAGGGAGGUGUGACUAGGGUUCAUAAACAAAGGGAUUUAACUCCUAAAUGGCAGAGGAUUGAGCAGUGAGGCUACAGGGGCAUGUUCUAUACACCAAAACUGCUUCAUU